CUGCCAAAGCAGCCGCCACCCCGUGCACUGGGAUGUCAGCUGGCCCGCCCGGGCCCCCUCGGCUGUGCCUCUGACUCGAGUGCAGCCGCGCGGGCAGCUGGCGGGGACAGGUACGCCGUGCCAGCGCCUAAAGCACCAAUACCCAGCACCGCCCCCGAUCCAGAGCCGAAGGGCUAUUGAGCACCUGGCCGGGCCACUCAGGUUUGAGUAGAGGGAGCCUGGACACCGCCUCUCAGUGGAGGAAUGUGACCAUCCCACGGCAGGGAGAGCAUCCGGGAAGGAGACGCGCUGAUGUGGCCAUCGUUGGGGAAUAGAACUUCUCACAAUUAAAUCUCAGUACGAACUGUUAAGAUGGUCAAUGAAGCUACAAUUAUUUCAGCUGGGAGUCCUUUAUUGUUGCACUAAAGUACAAAAAAAAAAAAAAAAAAAAAAAAAAAUCUUGGCUACAUGGUGCACAACCGUCUGACCCCGUAUAGCGCUUCUCGGGUUUCAAAAGCCACUUUGUUCGCCGCUCACAAGUUCCCAGUGGGGAUCAUCACCCCCGUUUUACAGCCAUGGAAACUGAAGUCUAGAAGGGAAUAAAGAAUUUCUGCAGUGUCAGCACCUCGUGGACUCGGGAACAGAUCUAAAUAUUCUGCUUCAAUCCCAGAGGGCUGUCUUCUCCUCCACGUCGCCACUUACUGUGAUUACAACCCCCCAGGGGUCACAUUCCACACCCAGAAAAUUGUAACACUGACCCAAAAGAACCAGUUUUUGUUUUUUUUGUUUUUGUCAGCUCUCAAAUUUUUUUUGUGGGACCCUUUAAAAAGCUCACAAGCUGGAUCCUGGAGCUAUGGAGCCUGGCCGAUAAGAUGAUUCUGAUUGCACAGAGCCUAGUGCUUUCUCAAUGAAAAGGGUCCCCCAAGUCCCUAUGGUUGUGUCGUCAGAGCUGAAGCCAUGAAGAGAAGCCAUUCCUCAUUACGAAGUGUUUUUUUUGGGCCAAGGGUACACACUUGUCCUGCUCUAAAUGCUGUUGCUGGCAGGGACCUUUGCCACUCAGUCAACAGACUGAGUCCAGGAGGAUGACCGAAUAAUCCGGGAGGCUCUGAAUUCGCCAUCAUUAAUUCAGAUGGUCCAAUUCUGGUCAUCAGUUCAGGUCGAUCUGAAAUACCAGUGGGCCAGAGAGUGUGAUGAGGGAAAAACUUUUACAGAGAAGAAAAUGGGCCAGGGACAUGGACUUGCUUAAGCCCAGUCGUGGAAGGAGUUUGGGGUAGAGAAGGCCACUCACGUCAUUAAAAAGCCCAUGGCGUGGCAGAGGCUCUGAUGAAUUUCAUCUGGCCAGUCCAAUAUCUUUUCAAGGGGAGCUUGAACUCCAUUUCAUAGAGUGGACCCCUUGGGCUGAAAUAGGCCAAUAUUUGCCCAAAGUGACCCGGUGACAGGAACCCAGUGCUGCCUAAUUCCAAGGCUCUGCUAUGUCUUCCUGCCGUUGCGAUGGAGAGACAUGCUUACGAUUUUUUGGAGGAAAUUAGCAGCAUGUUUUGAGGUUUGUGCUUGGAAUACCAGCAGGCUUAAGGAGAUUGCAGGAGCAACGUCUUUUAGGAUUUUCCAUUUGCAGAAGCCACAAUCCUAUAACAAACAGUCGGUAUGAAAGAACUGGAGAGAAGUAAAUUAAGGGCUUACAAGAAGCAAUCAAGCCUUUGUCUAGAGUAGUGGAGCCAAGAACCCAGUUGGCCAACAAAUCCUCGUGGAGCACCUACCUACUCCGUGCAGGGGUCCCUGAGGGAUGAUAACCUCUCAGGUUUGGGUCCUCCGGUGCAGACAGGCACGGAAGUGGAUAGAAGGAGCUCUGGCCUGCGAGUCAGAAGAUCAGAAUUUGCAAACUUCUCUUCCUCUCCCUGGCUGCGUGGCCUCAGACAAAUGAAUGCACCUCUCUGAGCCUCGGUUACCAUUUUGUAAGAUGGAGAUGCUAAUUCUUGCUCAAGCCACCUUCGGGCUCGACAUGCCUGUGGAUCCCCGCGGAACUACGGCGUGUGGUAAACUACUAUCCUCUUUAUGACUGUCCCUUUGGCAGACCCAGUCUGCGGGGGAAGAGGUAUGUCGUUUCUUUGUCCUCGGCACAGGGUCUGGCACAUGAUGGCCAGGUACUGGGUGGGCCCAGGGAGGAAUAAAGCUGUAAAUCUCUUACAUCUUAGCUAAAAUAACCUCUCCUAGUGCACAUGGACCUUAACUGGAAUCUUUCUGCCCUGUUGAUACUUUAAAUAAUAAAGACCAUUUCUUGUCAAGGAUCCAAACUCUUCUUGUGCUGACCAGGAGUCUAUCAAUCCACAAGAUGCUUCAUUGAAAUCAACUUGUUUUGCAAAACAGCUUUAUGGUCUUUUGCUGAUGAAGCCAGAUGAAUCCUGCAGCCAUCAACCCCGGGGAGGGCGUUUCUCCUUUCCUGCAGCUCAAUGUUCACAAAUAAUCUUCUCUUUUGAUCCAUACCACCGAUUAGGCAAGGGUCCUUUGUAAUUCCCGGAAUCGCAGCAUCGGGGACUGUCAGCUCCAAAAGGGCCCUCGAGAGUUACAUAUUCCUACUGCCCUAUUGUAGGGGAGAAGGUCUGCUGCAGAGUGUGAAGGAACUUGUUCAAGGUCAUAGAGCAGAGCCAGUCUUGCAAGGAGUGGUGUCUCUUUUCCUUAACUCAAUGGAGAUGGCUACUGUCCAGGACGUCUCUGGAUAAAGCCAGCGGUCCUCUCUGGAUACGCCGUGUCACCGAGUUGAGCCACGAAGCAGUUUCAUCAUCUGAUGGGUUCCCAGCUCUGCCAAGUGCUCUCCGAUGCGGCACUCCGCGCAGACCCUGCAGAGAGGGACACACGCUGUGGACGUUCUCAUGGCCCAGCUCACGGUGGGAACAUCCGAGGGCUGGAGUGGCCCUGGGGUGCUCUGCAGCGUGGGUGGAGGGGACUCUCGUUCUCCCCGGCCAUAAACUCACAGGGCCGUGGGAGAGGUGGGAGAGGGCUGGUGUCCCGGAAGGCGGGCCUGAGAACGGUGGUGGGUUGGUGGCCACAAGAGCCGUCCCGAAUGGCCUGUGCAGUACCUUGAUCUGGAACAUGCCGGGGGGGGGGGGGGCCCCCGGCUUGGUGGCUGCAGUCACAGAUUAGUCAGAUUCCCAGCUGGCGUCUCCGAGCAGGGAGCUGCGGUGAAAAGGCCUCAGUGACUUCCUUCCUCCUUCACUAAAGCGGGCCUGGAGAGCGAGGCCCUCGCACUGUAAUUACAUGUAGGCAGGAAACAAAUAGCUAAGACCUGUCUCCAAGUGAGGAAGGAAGGAAGACAUCCAGGGCUCUGGGGAUUCUUUAUCUUCUGUUCUUGAGGCGCUGGGAAAAUAAGAACCGCUAUCUACUUUUAAAUCUUUGCCAACCCUGGCGAGGUGGGUAUUAUUAGCCUCGGUCCCCAGAGAAACGAUAGAGUGAGUUCCCCACGGCUGCGGUGCCAGUGGGUCGUGUCACGGAGCUGGGGCUGAAUGAAUGACACUUCUGCCUGACUGCAGCCCCCCGCCGGUCUCUCUGCCUCGGCUGCAUGUGGCCUGGACACUUUCUCUUAGAGCUCAGGGUGGCCUCCUCGCGUCGCACAGGACGCCUGACCAAGCAGGCCGAAGUCCAGGACGUGCUUUUGUCCAUACCCCGUGCACCCCGGGCUCUCUUCUGCUUCUGCUUCUGCUUCUGCCCAGAGGGGAGGGGACCUCCUCUGCACAGGCUAUCUGCUCAGGAGCCUGCUCCCACGGGGCCACAGCCGCCCCCCAGGGGCACCGUUUUGGUACCACGCGAAGAUGAGGAAGCGAGGCCCGGACUUUGGAGAAUCCGAACCUGAGCAGCCUGGGUCCUCCAGGCUGAGCAGUCUCCUCUCAAAACUGAUGAAAACAGAAUGGGUUUCAAUUUGCCACAUGCCUUUCAAUCUUCCAAGGAAGGAUGGAAUAAAGCAGGUUGGCUGAUAAUCGAGCCUGGUGCCUGCUGACCUUGGGUGAGACUGUGGAGCCAUGGCACCUCCCCCACACUGCCAUCACUUCGGGAAACCAGCUGGAGUGUCUAUAUAUCAGAAGAUGCUCACAGUUAGUGGGCCAACCAUUCUCCUCUUUGGCAAAUAAGUGGAGAUACCCUUGUACACAUGCAGAGGGGAACGUGCAUACUAAUGCUCUUGACAGUAUUUUCGUAACGGAGGAAUUUGGAAACAAGCCUUGAUGGUCAUCAGCUUGAAACCAGACUGCUUCUCCAGACUUUGGCCCCAUGAAUAAAGUGCAGCUACAUGUAUCAACAUGAUUAAAUAUCAAAAAUACAAUUCCGAGUGAAGAAAAGUACGUCUCAGAGAUACAGAAAUCAGUUAUCCAGACCUAUCUGUUAGGUCACCAUCAGUUACUGAGCCCAAGUCCUCGCGUGAAACUCAGCCCAGCAAGAACUCAAAAUCAUUUUCAUUCACAUAAAGUCACUAACGGUGUUAAAACUCUCAUACUACCUUCAAAAGAAACACGUGGCCGGUGUUGAUAGCGGAAAUGUAACAGAAAGCUGAAUAAUGA